rnacentral:tRNA from 1 species
GGGGGCAUAGCUCAGUGGUAGUCUGGUAGAGCAUCCGACUGCAGAUCGGAUUGUCCCCGGUUCAAACCCGGGUGCCCCCU